AAUGUUGGCACAGGAGAAAGCUGCAGAUCACAUGAACACCACUUUCAGUAGCACCAUCAAUUUACCUGGGAGCAUUUCACAUCCAAAUACUGGCCAAAGGCAUAUUUAGACUUCAUGACAAAAUGAGGGGUAAAAAAAACAGUCCCAUCAAUACAAUUAAUGUAUAUUUAGGAAAAGUUCAGCUGUCCAUCUAGUUUCUGGUAGUUUAUUUAUGACUUACUAGUUUACCCAGAUUCAAGGGAGAAAAAAAAAAAAAAAAAUCAAGAAUGUAAUUCUAUUUCUCUUUAUUUAGGCUUUAAGUGUCCUUCUCCUUCUCCCCCACCACCCCAAGCCCCUCUUGACAGUACAAACAUUUAGUACAUCAGUUGCAGAAUCAGGAAGAGAUAGAUAAUUGAAUAUUCACACAUGCAGAAUUAACACAGGCAGCAUGUGGAAAAUGUGGAAACAAGCGCGAAAAGAGGCGGCAUCUGUUUACUGGAAAUUAGAAUGUAGAAUAAAUUAAGGGAAGGUUAAAACACUUCAUCUGCAGUAAGAGUUUGGAGGGAAGAAGACCUUGCAAGAACUCUGGAACGUAGAUUACAUAAAUGGCUUAAACAAUUUUGUUUCAAGGAAAGUAACUCUGUUUCUAAAUAAAACAUUUUUUAUGAGAGGAGCAGAAAUGGUGUCAAUAUACAAUGACAUUUUCAAUAAGAUGAUCAGAGCUACAAUAGUUUGUGAUAUAAGAACUCAAAGGAUUAAAACUGUACUUCUGGGGUUUUGUAAAAUACGUUGUAAUACAUGAAGAAAUGAAAAUACAAAGUUCUUCUGCAGGAGCUUUGCUCAUGUAAAGCAGUAUAUAGCAACAUCCCACCGACUGCAGAAAAUGGAAGUUUCAUCAAAACAAGAUUAUGUAUCCUGUCUUCUGUAAUUCCUUAAUGAAUUUAAGGAAAUGUCGUUUCAUUUUCUAAUAAAAUAAUGUUAUGCAUCUUUAAGAGACAUGUGUAUGAAUAAUAACAACUGAAGCAUAAACUUACAAUGUGCGAGUUUCAUUUACAGGACUUCCUGUGAAAGGUUUUCAUGAUACCCAGAAUUCAAUAUGAAAGCCAGGACCAAGAUGAUGAUUUCAUGUUAAACUUUCCAUUGAAGUGGAUGAGAGGGAAAUCAAUUUGCAAUUGGCAAAUAUGAGGUAUUAAUUUGAUAAAAGGAUAAAUAAUAUAGUGUCAUUCUGUAGAGAUAUAAAAGGUUGUUCUUUUCCAGGCACUGUCUGUGGGAAGAAUAUGUUGGACAUAUAGUUAUGACAAUCUAACAAAUAUAGUUAUUAAGUCUCAGCCCUAAAACUUGUUUUAUGAGAGCUCUGGGCAGGAAAGAAAACUACAGAUCAGGAUACAGGAUCACAGCCUUGGAUAAAUGUUGUUUUUUACUCAUGCAACAGAACAAUUCCAUCCCCCUUUUUUGGGGGGGGGGUCUAAUAAAUUUAUGACAAAAGUCAUCUCCUAGCCACAUGUUUCCAUCUCUUCUAAAAUAAUUUCUCAGUUCUGCUAUGAUGUAUUGACCCAGUUCUGGAUUUUUCAUUUUCAGCUCCUAGUAUACUUUUUUAACUAUUGAUACCAGACAGACUGAUUACACCCAUUUUAAAAAACAGAGAUAACUAUUUAAAUAAUAAAUUAUACACUAAACUGAAAUUUUUUUUAGAGGUUACAGAAGAGGGAGAGAGCUGGGGGGAAGAACUGCAGUAAUAUCUAUUAUCUAUUUCCUGAGGGGAGAAGUCCCAUUUAGAAGGACAGUUAUGGAAGUUUUCAUAAAUGACCAUUAAAAAGUUAUGUAUGUUGUUGGUAGCUCAAGUUUGGUAUAAUUACAAAUACUGUGCAAAGCCUUACUGUUCUGCAUGUGUCUGUUUCUUCAUGCUAGCAUAAAAUGGUAAAAUUUUCUAUCUAAUGAGAGGUCUCAUUAACUUUAUAUUAUGAAAUAUAGUAUCUUCUCACCUUAAUUUCUUUUCCAUGAAAAUGGAAGUGAGGCAUACAUUUAAAAUACAUUACUCCUGCUCUCAAUAACAAAUUGACAUAUUUACAAUUUUUUGAUGAGUGUUGAACAGUGCUCUUUUCCUUCCCCUUUUAAAGUAAGUUAUUUGGUUUCAAAACAAAAUAAAAUUCUACUUUUCCUUGUGGUGCCUAGGAUUCACGUUCCAUAGCACAGUCAGGAUAGAGAGAGGCAAUUAGUGACCUUUUUAAAGUUCUCAAUGUUACGCAUUUCAGAGAGAAAACAAGGUGAACACGCAGUCCAGAACUAUAUUAACUGUACCAUAGCAGACGUUAAAAUAGAAAGAUGUGUACAUGAGGCCUUUGUAAUACUGACAGCAGCACUUCUGCCAAUUUUCUUCCUCUCCUCCCCUCUCCCAAAGAAAAAGGGAUGGUGAAAACUUUUAAUGAGCCACUGUGGCAGUCCUGAUAACUUUUAAGCAGAGAUUUAAUAUUUUAUCAAAAUUCCAGUGAAACAUGGCAGUGGUGAUUACAAUCAUCUCUGUGCGGGUGGUGGUCAAUUAUAUCAUAAAUGCCUUAGUUGCCACUAUUGCUCUCAUAAAGUGAGCUGGACAAAGCUUAGGAGUACAUUACAAAAAUCUUUCUGAAUUCCAUCAGCAACCCUGGCUACAAUCUGACUCUCAGGAUUUUCUUCUUCUUGAUUAUGGAAAUAAGUUACAAAUGAUAUAAAAGUCCAACCCCUGACGGAAAAUUACUUGAGCAGUAUAACAUGCAAUACAGAGAACUUUUCUCUCCCUUAUACACUUUGGAUUUGCAGUGCUGUUAAUGGGGAAGCGUGGUUCCACUAGAGGACUGCAAAGGGGUAAACCAUGGUAAAAAAACACAAAGGUGGCAUUGAGGAUUAAAGCCUAGCUUUACCAAGUGGUAAUGGGUGUCUAACUGCCACCUAGGAGCCUCAUUUCAAUGUUUGGGCAUCAAUGAGAUCCUCUUCAGUUACCAUCAAGUCCCUUAAGUUUCUGUUGCUAGCUCCAGGCACAACCACUCAGGUUUUCAGAGAACACCCACCAGAUUGAACCUUGCACGACAGACAGGAAUGAGACAUUUUGGGGCAGGGUGGGGUGAAGUCUAUCCCAAAGCUCAAUGGUUACAGUGUCUUUAUCUAGGAGAGGAGAGGCCUGUUUUUAAAAUCACAAUUCUGCCUAAUUUGGAGCUAGGACUUGGACCUACAUCUCACUUCGCAGGAAAAGGACCAAACUAUCAAGCUGUUAGAUAUGUUGGAGUGAACAUCACUUAAGAAUAUCUGUAGUCUGGUGGUUAAGACAUUUUUUGGGUGGUGGAAGAUGUGGGUUUGAAUUCUCUCAGGCUGCAGCAGGAAUUGAAACUAGGUUUCCCUCAUCCUGGGAAGUAUGGUCCAAUCACUAAAGACUUAUGCCCCAUUCCUCUUUUCAUCAUUGGCUAGCUCCAUGCUUAGGGUUUUAUAGAUCUCAAUCUUAGGCUCCUACCUAUCCCCAUGCACUAUGCAGGGAGCCCGCGUUCCUCACUCAAGUAUUUCAGAAGGGGGGUAGGUUAAAAAUUGUCCUACUCACUGCUGUGACACCUAAGGGGCCAGCUCUGGAAGUUUUUAAGGUAAAGCACUAACAAGGAUCUUCAGUCCAUUAAAGCCAGGACACUGGGGCUGGUAGGUAAGUAUGACAGAUGUGGUCCAUUGCUCCCACUCAGAGAGUUAUGGCUCAUCUGAUUCACCAAACACACAGGCCAGGCUGGCCCACAAUCAAGGGGACUGUGAGGGUAACUGCAGAGAGUUCCCAUAAACACCUCUUCCAUGUACUGUCUAGCUUGCUUGGGAUCUCUGUUGCUCAUAGCUCCAUGUGCAGGUGAUUAACAGCUUUCAAGCUGUUCAACAGGCUUUUUGCUAUUGAAAUAUUUUGGUGGAAUAUCUUGACCCUGCAUAAUACUCUAUAAGCCUUGUUGUCAUUCAUAUUAUCAAAACUCAGUCACAUCUCCACCUGCCUAUACCAAAUUAUUA